CCUACGGGUGGCAGCAGUAGGGAAUUUUGCUCAAUGGGCGCAAGCCUGACCCAGCAACGCCGCGUGAACGAGACGCGCUUCGGGGUGUAAAAAUCUGUUAGUGGGGGCGAAACUUGGCGGUACGCACAGGGUAUGCACCGGCUAUCUCCGUGCCAGCAGCCGACGUAAUACGGGGGGUGCAGGCGUGGUCCGGAAUCAUUGGGGGUAAAGGGUUCGUAAGCGGCACGUAAAGUCCGGUGUUAAAGGCAGAGGCUCAACUUGUGUACGGCACUGGAUACUGGCGGGCUAGAAUGCGGUAGAGGUAAAGGGAAUUCCUGGUGUAGCGGUGAAAUGCUUAGAUAUCAGGAAGAACACCGGUGGCGAAAGCGAUUGACUGGGCCGUAAUUGACGUUGAGGCACGAAAGCGAGGGUAGCAAAUGGGAUUAGAUACCCGGGUAGUC
rnacentral:rRNA from 1 species